rnacentral:lncRNA from 1 species
UGAAUUUUUCUCAUUCUGUGCAUUCCUAAUUGGAAGAAGAUAAUCAACAUCUAAUAUUAUGUUACUCUCAGUAUAUUAGAAAUGGUCGAAUCAUAAACCAAUUAAGGAUAAUGUAAGGAAGACAUAAAGAUGUAUUUCCAGUUAUCACAAAUAUAGAAUCAAUUGAUAACAACUUAAUUAUGUCCAGCGUAGGACAACAGAGAAGAGUUUCCAUACCUUCUAAUAUUAUAAUAUCUCACUAUAUUAGUGGCUAAAUCAGUUUUCUCUAGCACAAAUAUUCACUCCAUUGUUGGAGUUUAAGCUUUUCUAUCUCAUGAUAUUAGUAGUUUGAUCCAAAAAAAAAAAGAAACAGUCAAACUGUACAUUGUAAUUAGAGAAAGAAAACAAACAAAAAUCAACCGAAGACUUUUAAGGUAUAUGAAACAAAAAUUAAAAAUAGCAAUUCUCUGCAAUUAAAGAAUAAGGCAAUAAAAUUGUAAAAAUACAAAAUAAAACAAAAAAUAUACACAGAAAGAAAGAUUUAGUAAAAUAAAAUCAUAAUAUAAUUUUCAUAACUGAAAGUGCUCAGUUACACUAAAAAGUCUAGAUUUACAACAUACACAAUUUUAUUUACAUCUUUAAACAUAUUAUCUAAUUAAAAUGAUUCUAAAAAAGUGUCAGCAUGAAGAGUUAGAAAAUAUACGAUAAAAAAAAUACAUAACGUUAAAAAUACAUUAUCACUGAUCACUAAAAAAUCAUGUUAGUAGUAAUAAAAAAUGAAAUGACAACACAUUUAUUAAAACCAUAGAACGGCACGCAAC